CUUGUACUCCCUCCAUCCGGAAAUACUUGUCAUUGAAAUGGAUGUAUCUAGAUGUAUUUUAGUUCUAGACACAUCCAUUUUGAUGACAAGUAAUUCCAGACGAAGGGAGUACUUG
rnacentral:pre_miRNA from 1 species